rnacentral:lncRNA from 1 species
CUUAUCGAUGGAGAAAGGUAACAUGACCUAUUUGGAUACCUUUACUUCGUCGUACUCGUUCAACCAUUGUAAUCGAUAGGGGUAUGUCAAUCCUAAUCUCUCCACAAGCAUGGUGCUUGCUACAGUUGCACAGCUACCUCCAUUGAUGAUCAUGCUAUACACCUUACUAUUGAUUAGACAUCGGGUACGGAAUAUGUUCUCCUAUUGUUCGUGUUUUUUUCCCCUGACUUGCAAGUUGAGGGCUCUUCGUAGAACUAGGGUACUACUCCAGUUGGGAGUUCCGAUAACAAAGUACUUGUAAACAAAAAGGUUAGUGAAAGCAAUUAACUCUUCCUCACUUUCGCUCAUGUUUACCUCAUAGUCUCUCACUUUACACCUUCUUCUAU